CCCUUAGAUGUCCGGGGCCGCACGCGCGCUGCACUGAAGGAAUCAGCGUGGCUUUCUCCCUGACCCGAAAGGGUUGGGAAACCCGUUGAAUCUCCUUCGUGAUAGGGAUUGGGGCUUGAAAUUGUUCCCCAUGAACGAGGAAUUCCCAGUAAGCGCGAGUCAUAAGCUCGCGUUGAUUACGUCCCUGCCCUUUGUACACACCGCCCGUCGCUACUACCGAUUGAACGGUUUAGUGAGGGCCUCGGAUUGGUCUCGGCCCGCUCUUCACCGGGCGGCGCCGUUGGUCGAGAAGACGCUCGAACUUGAUCGUUUAGAGGAAGUAAAAGUCGUAACA
rnacentral:rRNA from 1 species